rnacentral:tRNA from 1 species
GGUUAUAGCUCAGUGGUAAAGUGCUUGCCUAGCACGUGUGAGGCACUGGGUUCAAUUCUCAGCACCA